rnacentral:rRNA from 1 species
UGGGGAAUAUUGGACAAUGGGCGCAAGCCUGAUCCAGCCAUGCCGCGUGAGUGACGAAGGCCUUAGGGUUGUAAAGCUCUUUUUGGCGGGGACGAUAAUGACGGUACCCGCAGAAUAAGCUCCGGCUAACUUCGUGCCAGCAGCCGCGGUAAUACGAAGGGAGCUAGCGUUGUUCGGAAUCACUGGGCGUAAAGCGCACGUAGGUGGGCAGUUAAGUCAGGGGUGAAAGCCCGAGGCUCAACCUCGGAAUUGCCUCUGAUACUGGCUGUCUAGAGUUCGAGAGAGGUGAGUGGAAUUCCUAGUGUAGAGGUGAAAUUCGUAGAUAUUAGGAAGAACACCGGUGGCGAAGGCGGCUCACUGGCUCGAUACUGACACUGAGGUGCGAAAGCGUGGGGAGCAAACAGGAUUAGAUACCCACGUAGUCCCUGAGCGGGCUGGCAAGGCGCAU